GUGAUAAAUUAUUUAAUAAAAACCGUGACUUAAUUCGACAUGAACGAAUUCAUACUGGAGAAAAACCUUAUUCAUGUGAAGUGUGUGAUAAAAGAUUUAAUAUAAAAAGUACUUUAACUAAGCACAAACGAAUUCAUACCGGUGAAAAACGUUUUACAUGUAAAGUGUGUGAUAAAUCAUUGACUCAAAAAGACAAACACCCUUAAUUCAACAUGAACGAAUUCAUACAGGUGAAAAACCGUUUUCAUGUGUAAUGUGUGAUAAAACAUUU